CAUGCAAGUAGAACGCUGAAGAAAGGAGCUUGCUUCUUUUGGAUGAGUUGCGAACGGGUGAGUAACGCGUAGGUAACCUGCCUUGUAGCGGGGGAUAACUAUUGGAAACGAUAGCUAAUACCGCAUAACAGCUUUUGACACAUGUUAGAAGCUUGAAAGAUGCAAUUGCAUCACUACGAGAUGGACCUGCGUUGUAUUAGCUAGUAGGUAGGGUAACGGCCUACCUAGGCGACGAUACAUAGCCGACCUGAGAGGGUGAUCGGCCACACUGGGACUGAGACACGGCCCAAACUCCUACGGGAGGCAGCAGUGGGGGAUAUUGCACAAUGGAGGAAACUCUGAUGCAGCGACGCCGCGUGAGUGAAGAAGUAUUUCGGUAUGUAAAGCUCUAUCAGCAGGGAAGAUAAUGACAGUACCUGACUAAGAAGCUCCGGCUAAAUACGUG
rnacentral:rRNA from 1 species